GUCCUCUCAGGGUCGCACCUGGAGAGUUUCCAGGACCCUACCAGCCUCGGCUAUAGGAGGGAGAGUCAAGCAGAGGCCUGUCCGUUCCAUUCGUAGCUUGGCCGGUGGCUAGCGAGUGGCAGGCCAUCUGCUACAAGU